rnacentral:lncRNA from 1 species
CCUGAAGGUCAUCCUCCCCCAGACUGGGAGCCCGACGGACAGAGUCCCUCAGAGAGCCCCUAGGGGGCAGGCCCAGCCUCAAAGUUGGGCAGUGGACGAAGAGGUAUUUCCCCUUCCAGUUGUGGAUUGAAGAGGGAGCCCCUUUCAGCAACCCCUUCUUGUCGAACUGAGGGGAGAAAUACCAUCAGUCCUUCGUCGAAGGGUGACGCUUGAAGGUAUAGAAGUGCCUAAA